AUACGUAGGGGCGAGCGUUGUCCGGAAUGAUUGGGCGUAAAGGGCGCGUAGGCGGCCCGGUAAGUCUGGAGUGAAAGUCCUGUUUUUAAGAUGGGAAUUGCUUUGGAUACUGUCGGGCUUGAGUGCAGGAGAGGUAAGUGGAAUUCCCAGUGUAGCGGUGAAAUGCGUAGAGAUUGGGAGGAACACCAGUGGCGAAGGCGACUUACUGGACUGUAACUGACGCUGAGGCGCGAAAGUGUGGGGAGCAAACAGGAUUAGAUACCCUGGUAGUCCACACUGUAAACGAUGAAUGCUAGGUGUAGGGGGUAUCGACCCCUUCUGUGCCGCAGUCAACACAAUAAGCAUUCCGCCUGGGGAGUACGGCCGCAAGGUUGAAACUCAAAGGAAUUGACGGGG
rnacentral:rRNA from 1 species